AUACGGAGGGUGCGAGCGUUAAUGGGAAUUACUGGGCGUAAAGCGCGCGUAGGCGGUUUGGUCAGUCGGAUGCGAAAGCCCUGGGCUCAACCUGGGAAUUGCAUUCGAUACUGCCAGACUAGAGUAUGGUAGAGGGAAGUGGAAUUUCCGGUGUAGCGGUGAAAUGCGUAGAUAUCGGAAGGAACACCAGUGGCGAAGGCGACUUCCUGGGCCAAUACUGACGCUGAGGUGCGAAAGCGUGGGGAGCAAACAGGAUUAGAUACCCGAGUAGUCC
rnacentral:rRNA from 1 species